rnacentral:siRNA from 1 species
AGGACUGGCUCUUCAAGAUGCAUA